rnacentral:rRNA from 1 species
UACGUAGGGGACAAGCAUUAAUCGGAAUUAUUGGGCGUAAAGGGCGCGUAGGCGGGGACGUAAGUCAGGUUUGAAAUACCAAAGCUCAACUUUGGUGCUGCAUUUGAAACUGCGUGUCUUGAGGAUUGAGGGAGAAAGCGGAAUUCCAUGAGUAGCGGUGAAAUGCGUAGAUACAUGGAGGAACACCGGUGGCGAAAGCGGCUUUCUACUUUUUACCUGACGCUGAGGCGCGAGAGCAAGGGGAGCAAACAGG